AUGGAUGCUAUUUGUUUGAAUAAGGAAAUAUUUUUAAAAGAAAACUGGUUGUUUUCAAUCGAAUCGAAACGGGUUUCCCUACCAGUGGCAAGACUGAUAUUAUCUACGGUCGCUGUGACAUCACGAGCAGCAUACCUGUUUUGACGAAACCAUUUGAUUGAAAAGAGCCAAUUACCUGGAAUGGCUUCGAGUUUAUCCAGCGUUCCACCGGUGAAACUCAACCCUCGUCCAGACACCAUAGGCACUUUCAAUCCGCAAGCGGCCAAGGCUGGAGCUAGCACCUGAAAAAAAAACAAAUGACAUUUCCUAGAAAAGGAAAAAGGAUAGCAACUUACAUUCCAUUGAAGUACCAGGCCAUUAACAUCGCUCCUGUAAAACGUACAUUGAUACUUGCCUAAUUGAACUGGUUCGAUGCAACCCUUGACCAUUUCGUCGAUAAAGAAUUUGAUCUCUUCUGGCUCCAACUCGUAUUUGUCCCUCUUCUUCUGGAUGACAUCAGGAAUUCGGAUGGAUUGACGCUCCAUUGCUAAGAAAACGACAAAAUUAAAUCUAUCCCGUCUCCUCAAUUAAAUAUGAUGACUAUUUCUCCUGUCCUGGCAACUAGCUUCCCCCAACUGACUUGAUGAAUCCUCUGACUGGCUCAUUUAUGCAUUCAGGCACCACUCCCCCUUCACGCCUGCUCCAUCCUCCGUAUAGGCGGUACAUCGGACCCUCAGUGACGUGAAAAACUACUGACCGUUGCCUAGAUUUGUGUUAUGACCUACCCGGGAGCUUGUCAGCGUUCAUAUUUUUGGGAUCAGUAAAUUUGAUACAUACCGAAGGAUUUUUCUUGGAAAAGUUUAAUCUCCGUCGUUUGAAUCGACCGUUAUUCUGAACAGAAACAUAACGAGUCAAAUCAGCAAGGGAGUCGAAUUUAUGGUGCAGUCAUGUUGUUGACCCUUAUUGUUGCUGAUCAACACUGGUCUAAACCUUUUUUGAAAUAUCCAUACUUUCUAACGCCAAGGUGCCCGCCCACCUAAAAUGCCAUUCUUAUCGCACACCCACUUUGUUUGCACUUGUCUCCUUUUCUGUCCAGUGUCCACGUUCGCUUUUACCUGGAACCGAUCUUAAUUGCAACAUGCAGUUUUUGAUUCCCCCCCAUUGUCGGCUGGUUCAAACCCUCGAUCGUGUUCCUUAUCUUUCGCUGGUUGGCAUGUAAUUUCAUACACUUCUUUGGACAAGUU